rnacentral:rRNA from 1 species
GACGAACGCUGGCGGCACGCCUAACACAUGCAAGUCGAACGGUGAAGAGAAGCUUGCUUCUCGGAUCAGUGGCGGACGGGUGAGUAACAUGUGAGGAACCUGCCUUUCAGAGGGGGAUAACGUUUGGAAACGAACGCUAAUACCGCAUAACAUAUUCGGACGGCAUCGUCUGAAUAUCAAAGGAGCAAUCCGCUGAAAGAUGGCCUCGCACCUGAUUAGAUAGUUGGUGAGGUAACGGCUCACCAAGUCGACGAUCAGUAGCCGGACUGAGAGGUUCAACGGCACAUUGGGACUGAGAUACGGCCCAGACUCCUACGGGAGGCAGCAGUCGGGGAAUAUUGCACAAUGGAGGAAAC